GAUCCUGGCUCAGAUUGAACGCUGGCGGCAGGCUUAACACAUGCAAGUCGAACGGUAACAGGGAUUAGCUUGCUAAUUUGCUGACGAGUGGCGGACGGGUGAGUAAUGCUUGGGAAUCUGGCUUAUGGAGGGGGAUAACUACGGGAAACUGUAGCUAAUACCGCGUAAUAUCGGAAGAUUAAAGGGUGGGACUUUCGGGCCACCUGCCAUAAGAUGAGCCCAAGUGGGAUUAGGUAGUUGGUUAGGUAAGGCUG
rnacentral:rRNA from 1 species